CGAAGGGUGCAAGCGUUACUCGGAAUUACUGGGCGUAAAGCGUGCGUAGGUGGUUGUUUAAGUCUGUCGUGAAAGCCCUGGGCGUCAACCUGGGAAGUUGCGAUGGAAACUGGGCGACUAGAGUGUGGCAGAGGAUAGUGGAAUUCCUGGUGUAGCAGUGAAAUGCGUAGAGAUCAGGAGGAACAUCCGUGGCGAAGGCGACUGUCUGGGCCAACACUGACACUGAGGCACGAAAGCGUGGGAGCAAACAGGAUU
rnacentral:rRNA from 1 species